rnacentral:lncRNA from 1 species
GAAAGAUUACUUGAAACAAUAAAAAAAAAGAAACGUUAAAGCAGCCCUUGCUUUCUCAGAUUUUUAUAUGCUGGCGCUCAAAAGAGGGGUGCAGGAAGGAGAUGCUGCAGGUGAUUUGUGACCAGGGCCGCGGCAGUUUCCGUAUUCAGCGUAGACACCCUCUGGAUCACAGCUGCCCACGCGGGAACCUUGCCGUCAGUGUAGCCGGGUGAGCAGAGCGGCUGAGCUGGGACGUGCUGGCCCGCGUACACGGACCCGGAACCCUCACGGUGGGGAUAGGGUACCUUUGAGCAUUGCACUGAACUAAGUUGUUGACGUGAAAUAUUUGUUGUAGAGACUUGGAUAAAUAUAAUCUAAAUUAAAGUUGGAUUCUAGUUGUGUUGUUUUCUUGUGGCCGCCAGAGCAAAGUACCACGGCCUGGGCUGCUUACGCCACAGAAGUUCAUUGUCUCCCUGCUCUGGAGGCUGGAGUCCAAGAUGGGGGUGUGGCGGGUUCCUCCCCGAGGUUCUGGGGAGAUGCCACUCUGGGCCGCUCCCCCCACUGUGGGUGGUUUGCAGGCUGCCUCUCCCCAACCUCUCUGUCUGUCACACGGGUUUUCCUUAUGUGUCGCUGUCCAGGUGUCAUCUUUUUUUUUUUUUUCUAAAAUUUUUUUUUUAAUAUUUGUUUAUUUUUGACAGAGAGAGAGACACAGUGCAUGAGCGCGGGAGGGGCAGAGAGAGAGGGAGACACAGAAUCUGAAGCAGGCUCCAGGAUCCGAGCUGUCAUCACACAGCCCGACGCGGGGCUCGAACUCACGGACCGCGAGAUCAUGACCUGAGCCGAAGUCGGACGCUCAACGGACUGAGCCACCCAGGCGCCCUGGGGCGUCUUCUUUUGAUGAGGACACAGUCAUGUUGGAUUAGGAUCCCACCCUUUUCCACUCUGAGCGCAUCUCCUCUGAUUACAUCUCCGAUGACCUUACUUCCAAACAUCACGUUCUGAGGUCCUGUUUAAGACGCAUCGGCCUAUCUUUCUGUGGGGACACGAUUCAACCCACUCGCUAGUAGUGUAACCAAGAGCACCUUCCUCAAGUCAGUAGAAACAUCUCCCUAAACCUGCUGUUGAAGGAAAGCGGAAGGGUAACCGUCUUUUAGUUUCUGCUUAUUUCUCGCAUUGUCUGUGCCCGAGCCGGGUUGACGGGUGAGUGCCCUGGCUCCCUAACUGAGCACGUGGCUCUCCGGGUAAGCCGACGGAGGGGUCGUGACUGCUGGUCCAACCUUUCUGUGUAGGUGUGCAGCUGCCAGAGCCUCUGAUUCCGAGCCAUCCAAGCCGUCGGGAGCCCUGAAUACGUCGUCUUCCAGUUGGCUAGCUCAGCGACUCAGGUACUGGUCCGAACGGUGUGCACAGAUUCACUUGCCUUGUCCUGGGUGUGGCGGUUCUUGUCGGGUGAGCACGGAAAAGUCGGUGCAGUACAGGUACUAACUGAGUGGUUCAAAUUCUGUACUCCGAGUUAUGUACUCCUGGCACACGGCUUAGACUAGGCAGGGUGAUCGAGAGUCUGGAUUGGAGCUUUCUUGAGCUCCGGAUUAUCAGUGCAAUUUAUUCCAGCACAGAGCGGAUCACACGGUUGGCGUUUUAUAGCUGUUUCUGAAAUACAGAUCUUUUAUAUGAUCAGCUGCUCCGGGUUAGUCAAGAUGGACCUAAAAAAAUAAGCUGUUGUUUUGUUCUCUUUCAGAUGGAAAGUAAAGAGAUGAUGUGACUCCGUCCACAUGGAGACAUUAGCUUGUGUUGCGUAUUUUAACUUUACAGACCGUGUUUGUGCUGUAGCGCCUUUACGCUUCUCAUGGCAAACAGUCUGGAAUGUCAUUAAAACUUUUCCAGUAAAAUGUGCAAAUUUUGGCAAAACAAACAGAAGGGUAUCGAUAUUCUGAGCUUGGCUAAACUGCGUCAGCCCCUGCUUCCUCCCUCCUGCCCCCAAAUGAAGUGACGUGGAGAGCAAAGGGCCUGAGUAUUACCCGGCCUGAGUCCCGCAAGAACCUGGCACUGUGGAGGCCUCUGUCCCUUACAUACCCGCACAGCUGAUGGCACUCUGUCUUUAUCAGUGGCUUCCGUGGUGACCGCCCCUGGAGCCCAGAAGAAGGGGGAGGCCUUGGGCCUACUUGGCUAAGGG